AAACCGUUCAGGGGUAAACCUGAGAAAUCCAAAAGAUCGAAUGGGGAGAUUCAUCGUCAACGAGAAGGCUCCCGUUGGUGUGCGAUGUCCCAAGUGGAUCCUCGUGGUUCACUGGGAGGGCACGCCACCUACGGGUCGAAGACCGGCUUCGUAGUCGUGCACUUCUCCCCUAGUAGAACGUCGCGACCCGUUGUGUGUCGGUCUACGGCCCGGGGUCGAAGCCUGACACGUUCCUUGAGGCACACGCUGUCAGAUCCCCGGUAGCCUGGCCGGCUGCACGACGGUACUCGUACGGUAUCGGGCCGCAACCAAUCCAUUUUCGAAUGAGUGUGCGUCAGGCCCGUCGCAAGCGUCGAUUAGUAAAUCCGUGUAAACGCAUCUUGUGCCUUACCGGGCCUAGUCGUUCAGCUGUUAGCCGGCGGUGUCAUUGGACUGGCCAAAAUACGAAUUACCGGUCGGCGACGCUAUUGCUUUGGGUACUUUCAGGACCCGUCUUGAAACACGGACCAAGGAGUCUAACAUGUGCGCGAGUCAUUGGGACAGACAAACCUAAAGGCGAAAUGAAAGUGAAGGUCGACCUCAUUGCGUUGAUCAAGGGAGGAUGGGCCCCGUUACGAUGGGGCCUCGCACUCCCGGGGCGUCUCGUUCUCAUUGCGAGGAGAGGCGCACCUAGAGCGUACACGUU
rnacentral:rRNA from 1 species